AAUGAACGCUGGCGGCAGGCCUAACACAUGCAAGUCGAACGGAUCCUUCGGGAUUAGUGGCGGACGGGUGAGUAACGCGUGGGAACAUACCCAAAGGUACGGAAUAGCCUCGGGAAACUGGGAGUAAUACCGUAUGUGCUCGAAAGAGGAAAGAUUUAUCGCCUUUGGAUUGGCCCGCGUCGGAUUAGGUAGUUGGUGGAGUAAUGGCCUACCAAGCCGACGAUCCAUAGCUGGUUUGAGAGGAUGAUCAGCCACACUGGGACUGAGACACGGCCCAGACUCCUACGGGAGGCAGCAGUGGGGAAUCUUAGACAAUGGGGGAAACCCUGAUCUAGCCAUGCCGCGUGAUCGAUGAAGGCCUUAGGGUUGUAAAGAUCUUUCAGGUGGGAAGAUAAUGACUGUACCACCAGAAGAAGCCCCGGCUAACUCCGUGCCAGCCGCCGCAGUAA
rnacentral:rRNA from 1 species